GAUAAAGCAGGGCCCUGUUGUCUCUUGUGAACAUGACUCUCUAAAUUUUCAGGGAAUUACAUGCAUUGUUAUUGGGUGAACCUCUGUAGUUUUGUGGCUGAAGGUUCGUAAAUGAUGGCACAUUU